rnacentral:rRNA from 1 species
CGUGGGGAUGAAUGGCUUCGGCCCGUAAACCCCUGUCAUGGGCGAACAAGGCCUCCGGAUUAAUACCUCGGAGGAUUGAUAGUAGCUCAAGAGGAAGGGACGGCUAACUCUGUGCCAGCAGCCGCGGUAAUACAGAGGUCCCGAGCGUUGUUCGGAUUCACUGGGCGUAAAGGGUGCGUAGGUGGUCGGGUAAGUCCGAUGUGAAAUCCCGCAGCUCAACUGCGGAACUGCAUUGGAUACUAUUUGGCUAGAGGGUUGGAGGGGAGACUGGAAUUCUCGGUGUAGCAGUGAAAUGCGUAGAUAUCGAGAGGAACACCCGUGGCGAAGGCGAGUCUCUGGACAACUCCUGACGCUGAGGCACGAAAGCUAGGGGAGCAAACAGGAUUAGAUACCCUGGUAGUCCUGGCUGUAAACGGUGCGCAUUUGCUGUGAGCGGAAUCGACCCCGUUCGUGGCGAAGCUAACGCGUUAAAUGCGCCGCCUGGGGAGUACGGUCGCAAGAUUA